rnacentral:misc_RNA from 1 species
UUUCCGUAGGUGAACCUGUGGAAGGAUCAUUACCGAGUGAGGGCCCUCUGGGUCCAACCUCCCACCCGUGUUUAUCGUACCUUGUUGCUUCGGCGGGCCCGCCUCACGGCCGCCGGGGGGCACCCGCCCCCGGGCCCGCGCCCGCCGAAGACACCAUUGAACGCUGUCUGAAGAUUGCAGUCUGAGCAUCUUAGCUAAAUCAGUUAAAACUUUCAACAACGGAUCUCUUGGUUCCG